rnacentral:rRNA from 1 species
GGAAUCUUGGACAAUGGGGGCAGCCCUGAUCCAGCGACGCCGCAUGGGUGAUGAAGGCCUUCGGGUUGUACAGCCCUUUCGACGGGGACGAUGCUGACGGAACCCGGCCAAGAAGCACCGGCUAACUCCGUGCCAGCAGCCGCGGUAAGACGGAGGGUGCCAGCGUUGUUCGGAAUCACUGGGCGUAAAGGGCGCGUAGGCGGCCCAUCGUGUCGGCUCGUGAAAGCCCGGGGCUCAACCCCGGAGGUGCGGCCGAAACUGAUGGGCUGGAGGCCGGAAGAGGAGGGUGGAAUACCCAGUGUAGAGGUGAAAUUCGUAGAUAUUGGGUGGAACACCGGUGGCGAAAGCGGCUCUCUGGUCCGGUCCUGACGCUGAGGCGCGAAAGCGUGGGGAGCAAA